GAUUCAUAUUGUAUAUUACUCUUAUAAUUAUUAUCUUAUAUAAAAAAAGCUAUUUAUGUAAUUCAAAUUGUCGCACAAAAUAAUAUAUUGCUUUGAAUUACUUUUUUCAAAGCAAAAAUUUAAAUUAAAACCAUCAACAUAUUGAAAAUGUUAUCUAAAUAAAAUAAAUGUCAUUAAUAAAUGAAUUUUCAAGAUGAAUUCAAGAUUAUAUUAAAAUAAAGAAGAAUAAAAAUUUGCAUUUGUUGCAAAUGAUUUAAUGAAUAAGCAAUCUGGCUUUUGUGUUCGUCUUUUUUUUGAUUUAUUUUUAUAUUAUUUUUGAAAAAAAAAUUCAUUUUGCUGCAACUAAAAGAAUUGGAAUAAUAAAUAUCAAAUUAUAAUAAAAAAAGUGAGAGAUAAAAUUAAUUUGUUUUAUAACAAGAAAUAUAUGCAAAAGUAUAAAUUAUUGCAGGCCAUGAAAGUAUUGUGGGCUUGCAUGCGACCAGUUUUAUAUUUCUAAAUAAUGAUAGUUUUUAGUUAAAUAUAUGAAUAGGAUAAUUAUUGAUGGGAUCUUCUACAUUUUAAAUACAUUAUUAUACUGCAUUAUGCAAUAUUUCUUC